rnacentral:lncRNA from 1 species
AGGUGGUUGUUGACGAGGAGGGUUUGACGAGUAAGGGUAAGGUGGCUCCUCCGGGUUGUAGCCUGAAGACGGUUGUUGAAGCUGAGGAGGUGGCUGUUGAGGGUACUGUGGCUGUUGAGGAGGUGGCUGGUAAGGUGGUUGAUGGAGUGACUGGGUUUGAGGAGGUGGAGGAGGUUGGUAAGGAGGAUUGUUCACUGGUGGCGGCUGGGACUGACCACCACCAGGAGGGGAGAAAUAAGACUCCUGUUGGGGAGGGAACUGGCUUGGAAGCUGAGGCAGUUGUGAUGA